rnacentral:rRNA from 1 species
GACGAACGCUGGCGGCGUGCUUAACACAUGCAAGUCGAACGGAAAGGCCCUGCUUUUGUGGGGUGCUCGAGUGGCGAACGGGUGAGUAACACGUGAGUAACCUGCCCUUGACUUUGGGAUAACUUCAGGAAACUGGGGCUAAUACCGGAUAGGAGCUCCUGCUGCAUGGUGGGGGUUGGAAAGUUUCGGCGGUUGGGGAUGGACUCGCGGCUUAUCAGCUUGUUGGUGGGGUAGUGGCUUACCAAGGCUUUGACGGGUAGACGGCCUGAGAGGGUGACCGGCCACAUUGGGACUGAGAUAGGGCCCAGCCGCGUAGGGGAGGCAGCAGUGGGGAAUAUUGCACAGUGGGCGGGAGGCUGAUGCGGCGGCGCCGCGUGCGUGAUGACGGCCUUCGGGUUGUAAACCGCUUUCGCCUGUGACGAAGCGUGAGUGACGGUAAUGGGUAAAGAAGCACCGGCUAACUACGUG